rnacentral:rRNA from 1 species
UACGAAGGGUGCAAGCGUUACUCGGAAUUACUGGGAGUAAAGCGUGCGUAGACGGUUAUUUAAGUCGGAUGUGAAAGCCCCGGGCUCAACCUGGGAAUUGCAUUCGAGACUGAAUAGCUAGGGUGCGGUAGAGGGAAGCGGAAUUUCCGGUGUAGCGGUGAAAUGCGUAGAUAUCGGAAGGAACAUCAGUGGCGAAAGCGGCUUCCUGGACCAGCACCGACGUUCAGGCACGAAAGCGUGGGGAGCAAACAGG